rnacentral:rRNA from 1 species
UACGAAGGGGGCUAGCGUUGCUCGGAAUUACUGGGCGUAAAGCGCACGUAGGCGGCUUUUUAAGUCGGGGGUGAAAUCCUGGAGCUCAACUCCAGAACUGCCUUCGAUACUGGCGAUCUCGAGUUCGGGAGAGGUGAGUGGAACUGCGAGUGUAGAGGUGAAAUUCGUAGAUAUUCGCAAGAACACCAGUGGCGAAGGCGGCUCACUGGCCCGAUACUGACGCUGAGGUGCGAAAGCGUGGGGAGCAAACAGG